rnacentral:rRNA from 1 species
AUGCCCCGCCUUGCAAGGGAAACGAUAAUGGUGCGUAGAUAUGCUGCUGCUCCAUUUGUUCUCCAAACGGACUGUUCAAACCUAAUCAAACUGAUUAAGGAAACGAAGCCGGACAGAUCUUGCUUGGGACACCUGAUACAAGAGUUGAGAAUGAGAAACUUAUUCAUUGAGGCGAGGGAGCUUACUGUUAUAAAAAAAAAAGUAAGACCAACCCAAGGGCUCCCUCGUUGGCAUUUUUUUAUAGAAGAAACUCCGCGAGCACCGCGCGUCCGAGCUGGGACUCGAGCUCGCGUGGGCUGGCAGCAAUCUCAGCUGCCCAGCCAACGGAUCGACGCCCCAUCUUCGGGAGCUUACUGUUAUGAAAGUAGAUAG